rnacentral:rRNA from 1 species
GACGAACGCUGGCGGCGUGCUUAACACAUGCAAGUCGAACGGAAAGGCCCUGCUUUUGUGGGGUGCUCGAGUGGCGAACGGGUGAGUAACACGUGAGUAACCUGCCCUUGACUUUGGGAUAACUUCAGGAAACUGGGGCUAAUACCGGAUAGGAGCUCCUGCUGCAUGGUGGGGGUUGGAAAGUUUCGGCGGUUGGGGAUGGACUCGCGGCUUAUCAGCUUGUUGGUGGGGUAGUGGCUUACCAAGGCUUUGACGGGUAGCCGGCCUGAGAGGGUGACCGGCCACAUUGGGAAUGAGAAACGGCCCAGAAUCCUAAGGGAGGCAGGAGGGGGGAAUAAUGCAAAAUGGGCAGAAGCCUGAUGCAGCAACGCCGCGUGCGGGAUGACGGCCUUCGGGUUGUAAACCGCUUUCGCCUGUGACGAAGCGUGAGUGACGGUAAUGGGUAAAGAAGCACCGGCUAACUACGUG